GAUGAACGCUGGCGGCGGGCCUAAUACAUGCAAGUCGAACGAGUGGCGGACGGGUGAGUAACAAGUGGGAACGUACGCAUAAAAGGGGGAUAACACUUGGAAACAGGUGCUAAUACCGCAUAUUGAUGGAUCGAGCAGCGGGGCAUUAGCGAGUCGGUGGGGUAAAGGCCUAUCAAGGCGACGAUCCGUAACUGGUCUGAGAGGAUGACCAGCCACACUGGAACUGAGACACGGUCCAGACUCCGACGGGAGGCAGCAGUGGGGAAUAUUGGACAAGGGGCGAAAGCCUGAUGCAGCCAUGCCGCGUGUGUGAAGAAGGUCUUCGGAUUGUAAAGCACUUUCAGUUGGGAGGCGUUACCAACAGAAGAAGCACCGGCUAACUCCGUGCCAGCAGCCGCGGUAAUUC
rnacentral:rRNA from 1 species